rnacentral:tRNA from 1 species
GGGGAUUUAGCUCAGUGGCAUAACGCCUGCCUUGCAAGCAGGCAGUUGUGAGCUCAAUCCCCG